AUGAAAUAAAUUUUAUACAGUUUUGCACACACACCAAAAAUCUUAACCAAACACACUAGAGCAUCUCACCAAUUAUUUUGCUAGAUUAUUUCCUCUCACCAAGCACUAUCUCUCUUCUCACUUCACUCUCUACCUCACGGCUCUCCUGUCACUCUCACUUAUUCUCACACUUCUCACUCUUCACUCUUCUUUAACACUUACAUACAAAAUAUAGCAACACACAUAUAUAUAGACAUCCAAGGUCAGUGGCUUCAUCUUCUAGGAAAUUCUAGCAUGUCGGUGAAGUGGCCGUCUUCAAUCUUCUAGAGAAUCCACAACGGUGAAGAUAAAUUAUUCAGCGUGCUUUUGGAUUCAUCUUCAAUUCCAGAUUUUUUUUGUUAUGCUAAUGAACUCCAAUUUCCAGCAGCUUCCAAAUUAUUUUCAAAAGGCGGUGCUGGAUUCCUCAGGCUCCAGUAAACAUCUUGUUGAAGCUACUGACCAAGAAAUAGCACCAUACAAGAAUGGAGAAACAAUUGUAGAAAUGGAAGACAAAUGGAAAGUUUUCAAGAAGCAAAAGGAAGUGGAAUGAGAACCAUCUCGUGCUGUUUAAAGAAGAUGAUGAAAAUGAAGGGUUCCAUGGUGAGGACGGUUUUACCCUUGUUGAUUGGAAAGAAAAUGGCAUCUUUUUCUUAA
rnacentral:lncRNA from 1 species